rnacentral:lncRNA from 1 species
CUUGAGCGGUCGCCAUGGUGGUAUCGGGGACUCGGCCGGCCUCGUUAGCACAGAAGAUCCUCAGUCAUAGUUAACAAAAUGGUAAAAUUAGCUGUGUUUUUAAGAUUCCAGUCGUGGCCAUCAACUGCUCAGGAAAGCAGCCCAGAAUCACUUCACUACAGGUUUUCAAAGGAUCAUCAUUCAUCAGUAGGGUGAUAUUCAUCCUACAGAAGGGUGGGGAAGAGAAGGCUGUUCAAAUUCUGAAAAGCCAGAGCUGCAAAGGAGGUCAAAGAUGCAGUGCAGUUGGCCCACUCAGUAGAGUUUCACUAGUGGUUCUGAUGUGGACUGGGGAUUACACGCUGGAUUGAAGUGGUGGUCUGGAGCAGCUGUAAUUCAUCAUUCGUGCUGAUCGUGGACGAGUAAGAGCCCGCGUUGGCCCCGAUCGGCGAUCGCUGGCCAAAGCCCACCACCAGGUUGGUGAUAGGCGUUGGCUGUGAUAUCUAGGUGUCGCCUAUGUGUGAAUAGGACAAGUUGCUAACAAAACCUGUUGCGCCAUGUUAUUAACCCGCGCCCGGGUGGCCCUCAGCCAACUUGGUGGGGGGGGGGGGGGGGAGGGGAUUCGUAUUCGGCCACACCAGGUUAUCUUGGAAUGUAACAAAGCUGGAAAGACGCAGUAAAAUCAAUAUAUAGCUCGCUAUUUUCCUUCAGAAUCAUACAGGUCAUUUUCGAUCAGGUCAUUGCUAAGGUCACUGGAGGUCACCAAAAGUAAAAUGAUGACGAAUUUUGGCUUUAGAUUUUGACGACUUCACAAAUUGGUUCAUAACUCGGGAACCAAAGAAGCUACAGCGCCGCGGAAAAGCGAAUUCGAUAGCUCUUUCGGAAAUCUUUCAGGUUCUCAGAUUUGAGCUAAGGUCAACUAGGGUUAAACCUCCAAAUGGCAAAAACGGAACAAUCGGCGUGCUUCGGAAAUCGUCUUAUCUUUUAAAACUUUUGAUACCAACCUUUUAUUACGUUGAUUUUACCGGCACUGCGUUUCUCUCGUCUUGUUGACCUAACAAGGUCAACUUAAUAAAUUUGACCUCAGGUCAAAGUCGCAGAAAAUGCCAUAUUGCAUGUCAGUCGAUUCGUUACAUUGAGAUUGUAAUUAACAUCAGUAGCGGCGGAACACCUUCAAUUAAGGGGGCAUUGCCGACUUUUGGUCCCAUUCUUCCCAUGCAACGCCCAUAGGGCUAAUCUUAAAAUGCCAAAAUCAAAGGGGGCACGGUGCUCCGGUGCCCUCCCCGUUCCGCCGCCUAUGAUUAUGAUGUUUUAGCGCUCUGGCCACUUUCCAUCUAAAAUCAAUGUACAAAAAUAAACUGUUGGAGACGUUACAUGACCUGAGAUGACCUCAGGAGCAUACGAUAGAUCCCGACGUUUGAGUGUUUUUGUUUCAAAAGCAGAGCAUUUCGAGUUCCUCAUACUGACUGAAAUUGGAGACGUCGCAAAGUUGACCCGACCCUCGGUCACCGAUAUCAAAAUUAAAGAUACUCAAGAUGUUGGUAGUUGGUACUGAUUCUCUCAUGCAAUAGCUCGAGUUUCAAACUUCUACGUCAUGGUUACCUGACCUGACCUUAGGUGACAUGGGGUUACAUUUUUUUCACAAAUGAAAAAAUGAUGCGAAUCGAUGCAUUAUACAUAAGCUAUACUAAGUUUCGUGUCGUUUUAUUUAUGCAAGCACAAAAUUGUCAGGUGUGGCCAAAAACGCCCCCACCCACCUGGGGGAACGUUAAAGCAGUGAUGUAUUAUUCGGUGUAAUCCACGAUGCAUCGAUCGGUGACGGUGUACUUGAUAAUGCAUUAUUUAUUGCUGCGUGUCUACGAUUUUGCUCUGUUCAGUGUGAUCUGUGAUAGGAAAACUACCGAUAUAUCUCCACGCGCAUGACUGAAAGAGCUGGCAUGAUCCACAAUUUUGCGUGUCUGUUUUUGUUUGGCAUUUCAUAAAUACUGUCAGCUGUGA